UGUUGUGAGGCAGAGGUGUCCUUGGAUCCUUCACUGUGCUGUAAUGGUCCUUUCUUUGGUCCAGGGGGGAGGGGGGUUGGGAGGUGGAGGUUGGGUUUGUUGGUAGAAGAUGAUACAUAAACUGACCAUUCCUCAGAAUAUUCUAGAGACCCUGACCCUUUCUCAACUAACUAAUGAACACCAAUAUUUUUCUCCCCCCCCACCCCCACUAAGUAUUCCCUACUUCUAAAUAACUAUAGAUAGUGGGGUGGUAUCCUCUGCUGUUUGCACAUAGUGUUGGUCCUUUUCAUUACUGGCCUGCUAUCACACUCAUGCAUUCUUAUGUUUGUUUCAUAUCAUACCUAUUGUAGCUUCUUUGGAUUCUACAGCACAGAUUGCACAACCAAGUGGGGCUGAUUGGCAAGAAGAAGUGUACCAAAAGAUCCAAACCAUAAAAGAAAAUUACUUCACAGAGAUGAACGAAGAGUACCAGAAAGUUGCUUUGAGACUUCAGCAGGUUUUUCAAUGUCAAAUGACUUAUUGAGUACUGACUCUGAAAAGUGAGGUGCUCACACACUACCCUCUCCUUCUCAGGUAUCCACGUCAUUUGUCGAUAUGUAAUAUCUUUAUUUUCCUUCAACGGUUAAUAUAAUUCAUGUUCAAUCUUAAUUUUGGUUUGCCAACAAUCCAUGCAUGUUCAAGAGUCACUCUUCUUUUGGGGUUCUUGGCUUUCGUGUGUUUUGCUUCCUCUCAUGGACAAGUAAGUUGAUGAGUUGAGACAUCUAACUGAUACAAAACAGAUGAUUAUUUUAAAUUAAUGUGUUUCCAUUCAGUACUUUCCCCUCAUAUUAAAAGUUUUAAUGUGAUUUUCUCAAAUAUAAAUCCUUUUCAAUUCUUCCAGUAGACAUUAGACUGCAAAUCUUCAAUGAAUUGGUGUAUUCUCAAUGCCUAACAGUGUAGCCUCUCAAUGUAUUUCGAUAUUGUUCUCUUCACUGUCUUCAGCUACAGUACAUUAGUGUUAUAUAUAUGUUUUGAUGGCAUAAUGUUUACUUGAAAGACUAUCCUGAAGUGCAUGAUGGUUUGGUGGAUGUCAUUUUGUCUUUACUUUUUGUUGGUAUUU